rnacentral:rRNA from 1 species
GCAGCCGCCGCGGUAAUACGAAGGGUGCAAGCGUUACUCGGAAUUACUGGGCGUAAAGCGUGCGUAGGUGGUGGUUUAAGUCCGUUGUGAAAGCCCUGGGCUCAACCUGGGAAUUGCAGUGGAUACUGGGUCACUAGAGUGUGGUAGAGGAUAGUGGAAUUUCCGGUGUAGCAGUGAAAUGCGUAGAGAUCGGAAGGAACAUCUGUGGCGAAGGCGACUAUCUGGGCCAACACUGACACUGAGGCACGAAAGCGUGGGGAGCAAACAGGAUUAGAUACCCCUGUAGUCCCUGUCUCUUAUAC